rnacentral:rRNA from 1 species
CACGUAGGAGGCGAGCGUUGUCCGGAAUCAUUGGGCGUAAAGGGCGCGUAGGCGGCCUGCUAAGUCGAACGUGAAAUCCCUGGGCUCAACCCAGGAACUGCGUCCGAUACUGGUUGGCUUGAAUCCGGGAGAGGGACGUGGAAUUCCAGGUGUAGCGGUGAAAUGCGUAGAUAUCUGGAGGAACACCGGUGGCGAAGGCGACGUCCUGGACCGGCAUUGACGGCUGAGGGC